CUGGCUCAGGAUGAACGCUAGCUACAGGCUUAACACAUGCAAGUCGAGGGGCAGCAUGAGAUUAGCUGCUAAUCUUGAUGGCGACCGGCGCACGGGUGAGUAACGCGUAUCCAACUUCCCCCUACUCAGGCAUAGCCCGGUGAAAACCGGAUUAACUCCUGAUAGUUUCACUAGAUGGCAUCUGACGGUGAAUAAAGCUCAGCGGUAAGGGAUGGGGAUGCGUCUGAUUAGCUUGUUGGCGGGGUAACGGCCCACCAAGGCAACGAUCAGUAGGGGUUCUGAGAGGAAGGUCCCCCACAUUGGAACUGAGACACGGUCCAAACUCCUACGGGAGGCAGCAGUGAGGAAUAUUGGUCAAUGGGCGCGAGCCUGAACCAGCCAAGUAGCGUGCCAGGAAGACGGCCCUAUGGGUUGUAAACUGCUUUUGUGCGGGAAUAAAGUCAGGGACGUGUCCCUGUUUGCAUGUACCGCAAGAAUAAGGACCGGCUAAUUCCGUGCCAGCAGCCGC
rnacentral:rRNA from 1 species